UUUUAUGGAGAGUUUGAUCCUGGCUCAGGAUGAACGCUGGCGGCGUGCCUAAUACAUGCAAGUCGAGCGAACAGACGAGGAGCUUGCUCCUCUGACGUUAGCGGCGGACGGGUGAGUAACACGUGGAUAACCUACCUAUAAGACUGGGAUAACUUCGGGAAACCGGAGCUAAUACCGGAUAAUAUAUUGAACCG
rnacentral:rRNA from 1 species